CCCUACGGCUCAGUAGGAAUGUUCACCCCCCACCGUAAAAUUAUAUUUACAUUUUUGGCGUUUUCUUACAAAUAAAAAAAAAAUGGAGUGAAGAAAACAAUGCUGUGGAGUUGAGCUGCCACAGACUUUCUCAUGGGGAAGGAAGAGAGGGGGCUGGCUUCUUUGGCUGCAUUGCCCAUGCCUUCCUCCUCCAACUUUCAGUCCUGCAGCCCAGAGGGGGAAGAGAUGUCCCCGAUCCCUGUUUCUGAUGGGGGGGAAGGCAUCAGCCUUAGGCGCUGUGCUUUCCACUUGCACCGUAAAUGCCACGAGGGGCCAGACCGCGUGGAUCCAAUUAUAGAUAAGGGGGGAUUUAAAGACACCAGUGAGAGGGGCUAGGCCAUGGCCCACCACCACAUCGUGGAUCAGAGGAAUGGAGAUCGUAAUCCAGAAGCAGCCUGAGGAACAUAAGUGUGUAUUUUUACCCUUUCUGGUGUAUUUGCAUGAAAUCUUAUACCCUAAUGAGGCUCUUGGAUGGAUUUCCCUUUUAAGACUUUGUGGGAAAUGGUUAUAGUGAGUAUUUCAUUUUUUGUACAAAGAGAAAUAAAGAUUUUUUAUU